rnacentral:rRNA from 1 species
CAGCAGCCGCGGUAAUACGUAGGGGGCGAGCGUUGUCCGGAAUUAUUGGGCGUAAAGCGCGCGCAGGCGGUCCUUUAAGUCUGAUGUGAAAGCCCACGGCUCAACCGUGGAGGGUCAUUGGAAACUGGGGGACUUGAGUGCAGGAGAGGAGAGCGGAAUUCCACGUGUAGCGGUGAAAUGCGUAGAGAUGUGGAGGAACACCAGUGGCGAAGGCGGCUCUCUGGCCUGUAACUGACGCUGAGGCGCGAAAGCGUGGGGAGCAAACAGGAUUAGAUACCCUGGUAGUCCACGCCGUAAACGAUGAGUGCUAAGUGUUAGAGGGGUCACACCCUUUAGUGCUGCAGCUAACGCGAUAAGCACUCCGCCUGGGGAGUACGGCCGCAAGGCUGAAACUUAAAGGAAUUGGGGG